UUGCACAUGCAUAACCGUUGGAUUAAAAAAAAGAAAGGAUCUAAAGGUUUAGAAAGAAAGGAAAGAGGAAACAUAUGGACCGGUCCGGUUCAGAUGAACCAGACCGGUCUGCACAUGUUUAUAAAAGGCAUAGGGACCGGUUUUUUCUCAUUUUUCUCCUUCCUCCCUCUCUCUAAACAUUUCUAGUGAGAGAAGGUCUGCAAAUUGCAGCCUUCUUCUCCGGCGA
rnacentral:lncRNA from 1 species